rnacentral:lncRNA from 10 species
GUGAUAUAAAUAAAUGUUAUAAAUUAAUUUUACCAUGCCUCAUAUAGACAUCCUUAGAUCCUAUCAAUUUAUUCCACCAUGCCCUACAAUUAGAUUAUUUUCUAUGAGUCAUGAUGAGAUUCAUCACCUUAUUGUGUAAACUUUCUGAGGCAACAUCCUUUCUUUAGUUAGUCAAGUUUUAUCAUUUCUUGAAAAUGCAAGUACCCACAAAUUAAUAAUCCUAAAAUCCUUAUUAAUUCUUACAGAAAAGGUUUUGUGUUAAAAUAAAGAAAUAUAACGAAAAUAAUAAAGAUCCCAAAGCACCUCAUUUAAAUAUGUGGCAUACGAAAAGAAAAAAAUAAUAAAGUGAUUUUACAAGUUACUGUCUUUCAGGUUUUAUUUUUCACUGACAUGCCCAAACAAGAAAAAUGUUUCCAUGCAACCAAACAAUACAUUAAUAUGGAGUUUAGUAAGGGAGAAAAUAUUGAAGGCCAAUCUGUGAGCAGUUAGAAGACAAUAGAAUAUUGAGCCUUCAGCAGCUUGGUCCAUAAUGAACAAAUCAUGCCAGACCAUAAUAAUAGUCUUGUUUGAUAGAGUUGCAAAACUAAUUAAAGAGGAUACAACUGACAUCAUGUAUUUGGGCUCCAGUGAAGCAUUUGAACAGUGAAUUAUGUACUUUUACUUACAAAUUAAUUAUAAUUGCCUUGGAUGAAAAUAGAGUCACAUGGAUUGGGAACUGGCUGAAAGAUUAUAAACAAAAAUAGUAGAUUGUAAUGAAUGCAGUUAGAGGAUAACUACAAUGGGUUUUCACAAUGGUCAAAAAGUUUUGUAAAUCUCUAUUUACUGGUUGUUGAAGAAUAUUUUUCCUCAAUAAUGUUGAGGUAGAAAUGUUUUGGGGUUACCCAGUAUAAUAACCAAAUAAAGAAAUUAGA